rnacentral:tRNA from 1 species
UCCCUGGUGGUUCAGAGGCUAUGACUCCACAUUCUCAAUGCAGGGGGCCUGGGUUCGAUCCCUGGUCAGGGAA